AGUGAACGCUGGCGGUAGGCCUAACACAUGCAAGUCGAACGGCAGCACAGUAAGAGCUUGCUCUUACGGGUGGCGAGUGGCGGACGGGUGAGGAAUACAUCGGAAUCUACUUUUUCGUGGGGGAUAACGUAGGGAAACUUACGCUAAUACCGCAUACGACCUACGGGUGAAAGCAGGGGAUCUUCGGACCUUGCGCGAUUGAAUGAGCCGAUGUCGGAUUAGCUAGUUGGCGGGGUAAAGGCCCACCAAGGCGACGAUCCGUAGCUGGUCUGAGUGGAUGGUCAGCCACACUGGAACGGGGACACGGUCCAGACUCCUACGGGAGGCAGCAGUGGGGAAUAUUGGACAAUGGGCGCAAGCCUGAUCCAGCCAUACCGCGUGGGUGAAGAAGGCCUUCGGGUUGUAAAGCCCUUUUGUUGGGAAAGAAAAGCAGCAGGUUAAUACCCCGCUGUUCUGACGGUACCCAAAGAAUAAGCACCGGCUAACUUCGUG
rnacentral:rRNA from 1 species